rnacentral:rRNA from 1 species
GGGGAAUAUUGGACAAUGGGGGCAACCCUGAUCCAGCGAUGCCGCGUGUGUGAAGAAGGCCUGCGGGUUGUAAAGCACUUUAGGUGGGGAAGAAGGUCGGAUGUUUAAGAGAUGUCCGAAUUGACGUUACCCACAGAAUAAGCACCGGCUAACUCUGUGCCAGCAGCCGCGGUAAUACAGAGGGUGCAAGCGUUAAUCGGAAUGACUGGGCGUAAAGGGCGCGUAGGCGGACAAUUAAGUUAGAUGUGAAAUACCUGGGCUCAACCUGGGUGCUGCAUAUAAUACUGGUUGUCUGGAGUAGGGCAGAGGGGAGUGGAAUUUCCGGUGUAGCGGUGAAAUGCGUAGAUAUCGGAAAGAACACCAGUGGCGAAGGCGGCUCCCUGGGCCCAUACUGACGCUGAGGCGCGAAAGCGUGGGUAGCAAAC